UGCGUAGGCGGUUUAAUAAGUCAGUGGUGAAAUUCUGCAGCUCAACUGUAGGCGUGCCAUUGAUACUGUUAGACUUGAGUACACUAUAGGCAGGCGGAAUUUAUGAUGUAGCGGUGAAAUGCAUAGAUAUCCGGAGGAACAUCAGUGGCGAAGGCGGCUUACUGGACCAAAACUGACGCUGAGGCUCGAAAGCGUGGGGAGCAAACAGGAUUAGAUACCCUGGUAGUCC
rnacentral:rRNA from 1 species